GCCGCCGCGGACGAGUAUCCUCAUUCCGUAUGCCGCGGCGGCGAAUUCUCAUUGGCUCGCGCAGGGUGGCGCGCGAGGGGCUGGCUGUGUUACGUUCUAAAACGGCUGUCUCGCUGAGAGCCAUUGAGAAAACAACCCUAAUAUCGGUGCGACCCAGCCUUUUGAUCUGGAUAACUGAAUGGAAAACUGGCUGGAAUAUUCCACUGUACCAAAGAAGACCAAGACAGCAGACUGGGGAUCAAGCUUAUGCACAUUCAGAUAGAAAACCAGCUUACAACUCCCAGCAUGUCCCAGCCAGGCAUGCAUAUUCCUUAACCAGGAUGCAGAGAUUUUCAUCUUGUUCAGUGCUUGAAUUAUAAAAAUCUUACGUGGCCAAA